rnacentral:rRNA from 1 species
AUUGAACGCUGGCGGCAUGCUUUACUCAUGCAAGUCGGACGGCAGCACAGAGAAGCUUGCUUCUUGGGUGGCGAGUGGCGAACGGGUGAGUAAUAUAUCGGAACGUACCGAGUAAUGGGGGAUAACUAAUCGAAAGAUUAGCUAAUACCGCAUAUUCUCUGAGGAGGAAAGCAGGGGAACUUCGGGCCUUGCGUUAUUCGAGCGGCCGAUAUCUGAUUAGCUAGUUGGUGGGGUAAAGGCCUACCAAGGCGACGAUCAGUAGCGGGUCUGAGAGGAUGAUCCGCCACACUGGGACUGAGACACGGCCCAGACUCCUACGGGAGGCUGCAGUGGGGAAUUUUGGACAAUGGGCGCAAGCCUGAUCCAGCCAUGCCGCGUGUCUGAAGAAGGCCUUCGGGUUGUAAAGGACUUUUGUCAGGGAAGAAAAGGCUGUUGCUAAUACCGACAGCUGAUGACGGUACCUGAAGAAUAAGCUCCGGCUAACUACGUG